rnacentral:rRNA from 1 species
CUACACGGGUAUCUAAUCCUGUUUGCUCCCCACGCUUUCGCUCCUCAGCGUCAGGUAAGGCCCAGAGAACCGCCUUCGCCACCGGUGUUCCUCCCGAUAUCUGCGCAUUUCACCGCUACACCGGGAAUUCCAUUCUCCCCUACCUACCUCUAGUCUACUCGUAUCUACUGCAAGCCCAGGGUUAAGCCCUAGGUUUUCACAGCGGACGUAGCAGACCGCCUACGAGCUCUUUACGCCCAAUAAUUCCGGACAACGCUUGCGCCCUACGUGUUACCGCGGCUGCUGGCAC